GGAGGAACUGUGGCUCAGUGGCAGAGCAUCCGCUCGGCAUGCAGAAGGUCUCAGGUUCAAUCCCCCGGCACCUUCA
rnacentral:tRNA from 1 species